rnacentral:rRNA from 1 species
AUUGAACGCUGGCGGAAUGCUUUACACAUGCAAGUCGAGCGGCAGCACGGGGGCAACCCUGGUGGCGAGCGGCGAACGGGUGAGUAAUACAUCGGAACAUGCCCAGUCGUGGGGGAUAACACUUCGAAAGAAGUGCUAAUACCGCAUACGUCCUGAGGGAGAAAGCGGGGGAUCGCAAGACCUCGCGCGAUUGGAGUGGCCGAUGUCAGAUUAGCUAGUUGGUGGGGUAAAGGCCUACCAAGGCAACGAUCUGUAGCUGGUCUGAGAGGAUGAUCAGCCAACCUGGGACCGAGACACGGCCCCGGCUCCCUAGGGAGGCCGGCAUUGGGAAAUUUUGGAAAAUGGGGCAACCCUGAUCCAGCCAUUCCGCGUGAGUGAAGAAGGCCUUCGGGUUGUAAAGCUCUUUCGGCAGGAACGAAACGGCGAGCUCUAACAUAGCUUGCUAAUGACGGUACCUGAAGAAGAAGCACCGGCUAACUACGUG